CCUACGGGUGGCAGCAGUGAGGAAUAUUGGUCAAUGGACGCAAGUCUGAACCAGCCAUGCCGCGUGCAGGAAGACGGCUCUAUGAGUUGUAAACUGCUUUUGUACGAGGGUAAACGCAGAUACGCGUAUCUUUCUGAAAGUAUCGUACGAAUAAGGAUCGGCUAACUCCGUGCCAGCAGCCGCGGUAAUACGGAGGAUUCAAGCGUUAUCCGGAUUUAUUGGGUUUAAAGGGUGCGUAGGCGGUCGGAUAAGUUAGAGGUGAAAUCCCGAGGCUCAACCUUGGAAUUGCCGCUGAUACUGGUCGGCUAGAGAUUAGUUGCGGUAGGCGGAAUGUAUGGUGUAGCGGUGAAAUGCUUAGAGAUCAUGCAGAACACCGAUUGCGAAGGCAGCUUACCAAGCUACUACUGACGCUGAGGCACGAAAGCGUGGGGAGCAAACAGGAUUAGAUACCCGGGUAGUC
rnacentral:rRNA from 1 species